rnacentral:rRNA from 1 species
AGUGAACGCUGGCGGUAGGCCUAACACAUGCGAGUCGAACGGCAGCACAGUAAGAGCUUGCUCUUACGGGUGGCGAGUGGCGGACGGGUGAGGAAUACAUCGGAAUCUACUUUUUCGUGGGGGAUAACGUAGGGAAACUUACGCUAAUACCGCAUACGACCUACGGGUGAAAGCAGGGGAGCUUCGGACCUUGCGCGACAGAUUGAGACGAUGUCGGAUUAGCUAGUUGGCGGGGUAAAGGCCCACCAAGGCGACGAUCCGUAGCUGGUCUGAGAGGAUGAUCAGCCACACUGGAACUGAGACACGGUCCAGACUCCUACGGGAGGCAGCAGUGGGGAAUAUUGGACAAUGGGCGCAAGCCUGAUCCAGCCAUACCGCGUGGGUGAAGAAGGCCUUCGGGUUGUAAAGCCCUUUUGUUGGGAAAGAAAAUCAGCAGGUUAAUACCCCGCUGUUCUGACGGUACCCAAAGAAUAAGCACCGGCUAACUUCGUG